AUUGAACGCUGGCGGCAGGCCUAACACAUGCAAGUCGAGCGAGCGGCGGACGGGUGAGUAAUGUAUGGGGACUGCCCGAUAGAGGGGGAUAACUACUGGAAACGGUGGCUAAUACCGCAUACUAUCGGAUAACCCAUAUGGUAUUAGCUAUUGGGUGGGGUAAAGGCUCACCUAGGCGACGAUCCCUAGCUGGUCUGAGGGGAUGAUCAGCAAAACUGGGACUGGGACACGGCCCGGACUCCUACGGAGGCAGCGGUGGGGAAUAUUGCACAAUGGGCGCAAGCCUAAUGCAGCCAUGCCGCGUGUAUGAGAAAGGCUUUAGGGUUUUAAAGUACUUUCAGCGGGGAGGCGUUACCCGCAGAAGAAGCACCGGCUAACUCCGUGCCAGCAGCCGCGGUAAUAC
rnacentral:rRNA from 1 species